rfam:Ornithorhynchus anatinus chromosome 4, whole genome shotgun sequence.
CCCCUCUCAGGGUUGCACCUGGAGAGUUUCCAGUACUCUACCAGUCAUGACUACAGGACAGAGAGUCAGGCAGAGGCCUACCCUUUCCAUUUCUAGCUUGGGCAGGGGCUAGUGAGUGGAAGGCAAUCUGCUACAAGU